GAAAUUUGGUGUGAUUAAUAACAUUAUAUUAUAAUUAAAAAUUUAGUAAAUUGAUUUAUCACCUGAUUUUGAAAAGUUUUAUGGAGUUUGUUAGUUUUGAAAUGUGUUUCUUAUAUGUAGGAUUUAUGUAUUAUUCCCUAACAACUUUAACCCUGGUAAAGUGUGACGGCCCGGUCUUAAAUUCACCGAGUGUCAUUAAAACUUAAAGAGUUUC
rnacentral:lncRNA from 1 species